CAAUACUUAUUAUAAUAAUCUCACUCCAACACUAAAACACACGCCUUUUCCUUUCUGCCUUUUCGGUUUUGCCUCUCUUUUCUGCAAAUGGCUCCAGCUUUUCAAUUCAUUCAAGAUCUUGAAGAAGGAUUGAGCAAAUUCACGAUCCAGCUUCGCCUCAUACGUUGUUAUGAAUCAACUCACUUCAGCAACAACACACUGAAAUAAAGAAGCAGAAUUUGGAAGAUUUGGCUGAAAUACAAGUUAUAGUUCAUCUCGAGAGGAGUUCGUGAGCGCAAAUGGUUCGUAAAUCGGAGUUCGAACGAGGGAGAACGAGCCAAAACAAAAUCACUGCACAAGGCCGAGCGAGGUCGCGCGGUCCAGGCGCGCGGCCGCGCGACGAAGGCAGAAACUCUGGACAGCGCGCGCGUGCGCGCUAGCAGGCCGCGCGAGGUCAUGCGGUCUCGGCGCGGCCGCGCGACCCGGCCGCGCGAGACGCCAUUUUCUCGCCCAGUUUCCAGAUUUUUCACUUAAAGCGCGAUUUUGGAGUAUUUUUGGAGCUUGAAGACCUAGGGCAUAUAAAUACCAUCCAAUAACUUAUUCCCCAAUCAUCUUUUAUCAUAUUUUACAUCUUUUGGAGAGCUUUGAGAAGACGGAGAACACCAUUGGAGCAAGAACUGAAGAUUCUCAAUUUGACUACGGUUUUAUUGUUGAAUGUUUUACAGUUUUAUUGAGAUAUUGAUUUUUAGUCAUAUGUCUAUGUGUGGCUAGAAUCUCUUUUUCCCAGGGUUUAAGGAGUAGACAUGAUUUGAAUUUCUGACUGUUUGAUUCGAUUAAUUGAGAUUGUUAUUCCUUUU